rnacentral:rRNA from 1 species
AUUGAACGCUGGCGGCAGGCCUAACACAUGCAAGUCGAGCGGAUGAAGGGAGCUUGCUCCUGGAUUCAGCGGCGGACGGGUGAGUAAUGCCUAGGAAUCUGCCUGGUAGUGGGGGAUAACGUCCGGAAACGGGCGCUGAUACCGCAUACGUCCUGAGGGAGAAAGUGGGGGAUCUUCGGACCUCACGCUAUCAGAUGAGCCUAGGUCGGAUUAGCUAGUUGGUGGGGUAAAGGCCUACCAAGGCGGCGAUCCGUAACUGGUCUGAGAGGAUGAUCAGUCACACUGGAACUGAGACACGGUCCAGACUCCUACGGGAGGCAGCAGUGGGGAAUAUUGGACAAUGGGCGAAAGCCUGAUCCAGCCAUGCCGCGUGUGUGAAGAAGGUCUUCGGAUUGUAAAGCACUUUAAGUUGGGAGGAAGGGCAGUAAGUUAAUACCUUGCUGUUUUGACGUUACCAACAGAAUAAGCACCGGCUAACUUCGUG